rnacentral:rRNA from 1 species
GUAGGGAAUAUUGGACAAUGGGUGCGAGCCUGAUCCAGCCAUGCCGCGUGCAGGAAGACGGCCUUCUGGGUUGUAAACUGCUUUUGCCAGGGGAUAAAACGGCUCUGCGGAGCUAAUUGAAGGUACCUGGUGAAUAAGCCACGGCUAACUACGUGCCAGCAGCCGCGGUAAUACGUAGGUGGCAAGCGUUGUCCGGAUUUAUUGGGUUUAAAGGGUGCGUAGGUGGUUCCAUAAGUCAGUGGUGAAAUACGGCAGCUUAACUGUCGAGGUGCCAUUGAUACUGCGGAACUUGAGUACAGACGAGGUAGGCGGAAUUGACGGUGUAGCGGUGAAAUGCUUAGAUAUCGUCAAGAACACCGAUAGCGAAGGCAGCUUACUAGACUGUAACUGACACUGAGGCACGAAAGUGUGGGGAUCAAACAGGAUUAGAAACCCCAGUAGUCC